UCUCUCCCACUCUCUCAAAAUAAAUAAAUAAAUCUGUAAAAAAAUAUAUAUAUACGUAUAUAAGAAAUAUUUCAUUUCCCAUUUACUUCAUUAAAAGAAGACAUCAAAAAUAUGAUAAAUGGCAAAUGACACCUAGCUUCGGUGUGGGAGCUCAUGACGGUGUGGUGUGAACUGUGGCCAACUAGAGAAUCCACGCUCCAACUGAGGGGGCAACCACCACCCAGCUCCAGCCAAAAGCUGUCAUAUGGGAAUUCAGGAUGACUGCUACCAGGUCUCCCAAUUUUAAAUAUACAUCUAAAGAUAGGAAAAGAAGAAAAGGAGGAGAGAGACCUAGGAGGGAAGAAGGGGGGGGAGAGAGAGAGGGAAAGGGGGGGGAGAGAGAGAGGGAAAGGAAGGAAAGAAGAAAGGAAGAGAGAGAGGGGGGAAAGGUUUUAUAUGAAAAUCUUCCAAUUAAAAAGUUCUGGCAACAGAUUCAAGACGUCUUCCCAAACACUGUACUUGGCCAAGAAAGAUAACGUGUCUGCAGCUGAGUGAGCGGGGCCCCGCAGCGCGCAACUCCGCUCGCAGCUCCCCUUCAGGCCUGCCCCCUGCCCAGCAUCUGCAUAUCCUCCCCCGGGCUCGCGACGGUCCUUCAAGGUCAGCAUUAGGGAGCCUCAAGGCCUGGCCCGCUCCCGCUGACUCUCCUCCCCGCAGCCCUGCGCCGACACUCCUCUUGGCUCUCCAUCCUCCACUGCCUCACUCAACAGUUUCCCAACCUCCGGGUGUUUGUCCCGGCUCGCGCCUUACUCACUGCUCCUGGACCCUCCUCCGUCACCAGCGACGCUGUGCACCUUGCCAGGGCUCGUUAAAUCUCCGGGCUGAGCACGGUUCUUUCCGAGUCUCCCCGGCGCCUCCGCAGACGCCGGCUCCAGCCAGGGGCCCGUCUCCCCGCUGUCCCCCCAACUUCUGCAGCCCAGGAGCUGCUCCCCGACGACGGCGCCUGGACCGCGCCGAGAGUGGGGCUGUGUUUUGUCAACUAGGCAACACCGGACACGCGGACGAGUCCAGAAAAUUAUACUGAUGACACCCACGCCCCCCACUCAAGAGUAAACCUAAAACGUUUUGCUUCAUUUGCUUGGUUUACGAAAAUGACGUCAUGCUGAAUAAUCUUUUGCAACGUUUCUCAUUUCCCAUUAUGUUUUGGAGAUUCAUCUGUGUGUAUGAUUAACUACUGUGUAGUAUUUCUUUGUUUUUCAUGUGUUUCAUAGCAUAUAGCUCGAUUUUUAAAGAAAUUUUAAUUUGAGAGUAUAUCUCUAUUAGCUAGAGUUAAGCUUGUCUUAAUAACUAUAAUUGGAUUAAUUCUCAUUGUCAUUGAAUUCUUCUGUUGUAUUUUGGGGUAUUUUUCAUACUUUUUUUAUAUUUUAUUUUCUGCGUUCCUGUUAUAUCCUCUGGGUUCAGUUUCAGAGAAUAGAAUUCAUUCUAGAUAGUUUAAGUACAAAAGGAUUUAUUAUAGGGUAUAAAAUGGCUAAAGGGCUUCUCUGGAGGGCAGAAGAAGCAGAUUCUAGGUUGAACCUUCAGGAGUGAGUUUGAGAGGCAUGCUGCAGAACCAGGCCACCAAAAGAGCCACUGCCCCUUCUGAAAUCUGGAAGCCACUUCUUGAACGGGAAAGUUGUGGCUGCAUUUGCCAGCUCCUGAACCGUACGGCUAGUGUUAUAAGAAGCCACCACAGAAAAAUCAGACACCUCCACAGCAGUCCUCACCCACAGAAAUAGCACAGACCCAGGCUCUGCUUCACUUCCACCUUACAAAUCAAAUAAGAGAAAAUGUGAUUGGAAGACCCAAAAGUGCAUCCAGAAUCCUAGCUUCUGAACUACAGGAAGGCCCAGGAGGACACAGGAAUGGGAAACCCGGAGUUUUAGAGGGGUACAUCACGCCCAACUAAAGCCAGCUAAAGACUACAUUUCCCACUCUCCCUUGCAAAUAGUGGCAAAGGUGAAGAGCGACAAGGAAAUAAAACCCUAUGGCCUGCAAAACUCAAAAUAUUUACUCACUGGCCCUUAACACAAAGGAGUUUGCCAACGCCUGACUCAGACAAAGGAGACAUAUUAGUGGGGGCUUUCUGCUGGAAGGCCUAGCUAUGGCCCCGCCACACAUGGACCAAUGGAGGCAAGAGAUUCCAGCAUGAGCAUCAUUUUUGUGUCAAUUCCCUUUACCCUCCAAGUCCGACAGGGGUGAUACAGAAGGGCCCACAUGGAUGCCUACACAUGCAGUGGGUUCUGUCACGGGAGAAGAAUGAGCCCGUUCUUUGUGCCAGAAGAAGGCAUUACCUCAUCUCUCAAAGCUGCUUGCUGCAAACACAAGUCUGAGAAAUGGCCCAGUAAAGAAUGAUCAGAGAUUUGCGUUUGCGGCAUAACCAGCCAGCAUGUCCAAGACUGCUCAGGUCCCAGAGAAGAUUGCUUCUCCCAAUACACCUGAGGUCCUGGCUUGGGUUCCUGGUCUAACUCUCUGGGACUUAAAACUGAAACUCCAGCCAUCACAGCCAAGAGGAGCCUAAGGGGACAUGAUGACUAAAUGUCAUGUGGAAUCCUGGAACAGAAAAAAGAUAAUAGGUAAAAACCAAGGAAAUCUGAAUCAAGUAUGGAGUUUAGUUAAUUAAAAAGAACCCCAAAACUUUGAAGCUCCUAGAUUACUGGAAUAGAUAAGCACAUGCUUACUAUUUGAUCUUUAGUCACUUGAGGAUUUUCUUUUCUUGUGAGUUCAAGUAUGCAUUACAGUUUUUGUCAUGUCUUAUCCAGUAUUUCUAGGUGUUUUACUGUUUUCCAUUUAUCUUUGUCUACAACUUUGUUGGAAUCCAGGUGUUUGUUUAAAAUUUAUAUUCCUGGAUCCCAACCCCAGAGAUUAUGGCUUCUGCAGACUGGAUUGUAGCACAGGAUUCUGCCUUCAUAACAAAUGAUUCUGUUACAGGGGGCUUGGGGGCCAAAUCUUAAGAAAUGCUGCCAUUAAGAAUGGAAUCAUAGGGGGCUCUUGGGUGGCUUGGUUGGUUAAGCAUCUGUCUUCAGCUCAGGUCAUGAUCUCAGGGUCCCUGGGAUCGAGCCCCGUGUGAGGCUCCCUGCUCAGCGGGGAGU